GCCCGGCUAGCUCAAUCGGUAGAGCGUGUGACUCUUACUCAUCGCAAGAUGUUCUAGUCAAUCACAAGGUUGGGGGUUCGACCCCCCCGUUGGGCU
rfam:Botryotinia fuckeliana T4 unplaced genomic scaffold BcT4_SuperSuperContig_E2_V3__V4, whole genome shotgun sequence.